rnacentral:lncRNA from 1 species
AUGCGUCCAGCUGUGGUCACUGUCGCCCUGCUGGGGGUGGUGUACUAUCUGUUCACCGUGUCAGCCGGACCUUUUUCAAUAAGGAAAAUGUGUCUCAGGCGUCCAGAUAACCCAUGCUCUGAAGGAUGGAGCCGCAUUGAUGAGAAUCGUUGCGCUACAUAUAUCCAGAGCCAGAAAACUUUCCAUGAGGCACAGGAACACUGCAGAACCUUGAACAGUGACCUGGUGUCACUGCACAGUUAUAACGAGCUUUCCGACCUGCUCUGUUUGACCUGGCGUGCCGACCCCUCGUCCCCAAACUAUUUGGAUUGGAGCCCAGAGAUCAGAGGUAAGCAGUGA